GUCAGGAGUGGCUGAAGCUGAGCGUAGAUGGCUUGCUGGUGGGGGCCAACAGCGCAUGCCCAUGGGUGAGGAAGCGCCGGGUACUCGUCUGCUGGCGCAGGCGCACAGGACGUGCUUGCAGCCACGUAUGGGGAGGAGCGUGCCCUUGCAGAUGAGUAAACUGAGGCCCAAAGAGGCAGAGGGACGUGUCUGAAGCCGCACAGCUACAGCAAGUGUGGACCUGGCCUGCAAACGUGGGCCAGGAGUUUCCCGCUCCGCCCCAUAGCGACAGUGGACGCGUGGCGAGUAGUUCUUAAAAAUCGCUCCCCUGAAUGCCUUGAAGUGGAGGCACUGGACUUUGUCUGGAUCCUUAGACCUGAUUCUCCUCGUCCCACCAAAAAGGGCCUCCUUCUUGGGGUGGGGGGGCCUUCCACGAACUUCUCUACAAUGUGGGGGGAGGUGGACAUCAAUGACGCUACCGCAAGGAGCCUUAACCAAUGUCAGACCCUUUCUCCAAACACAAGCCAGAGACUGGGCCCCGUCUGGGGCGGAAUGCCCUGUGCAGGCCCGGCCACCCUGACCAGUGGGGAUCAGGUUCACUUCACCCCUUGUGCAUGUGGAGAGGCCCCAAGGUCAUGGACCUGGGGUGACAAUGAGCACUGUCCACACCCAGAAGCUGAGAUCAGCUUUUGGGGUGCCCUUUCUUCAGCCAUUUACUAGUUUCCUAUAAUAAUGGUAAUAAUAACUACCCCAGCCUAA